GUGAAUCAUCGAAUUUUUGAACGCAAAUUGCACUCUCUGGUAUUCCGGAGAGUAUGCCUGUUUGAGGUUCAGUUUAAAUAAAAAUCGGUGUGUUUGCUGGCUGUCGUGGUUACGCACCGUAUGUGUUUCUUCUUGCCUUCGGUUAUGUAACCUGAGAUUUUUCAUGAUUUUUUGCGAACGGAUUUAAAUGAUUUUACUUACGUUUUCGAUAUCGAAUACUAGGUACGGUCAUCCUCAUUAUCCUCAACCAUAA
rnacentral:misc_RNA from 1 species